UCCAGGUUUUUUAGUGUAGUAAUAAGAAAGUAUAAUAAGGCAAAGAGGAUGCUGAAAUGAUCCAUGUGGUAAUAUAGUGAAGUUGGAGACUUAUAUAAACUCAUGGUUAGCUCAAUAUGCAUAGAGAUGGUUACAUAUAGCAAUACACACAUAACUUUCUUUUCUCUAUCAGCUAAGAAGACUUAGAAGCAUCAUACACACAUAACUUUCUUUUCUCUAUCAGCUAAGAAGACUUAGAAGCGUCACUCAAGGAACAACAAGCACACUCAGUCUAAAAGGUUCAAGGAUUCUUUGGAGAAAUAGCUGAUUCUAGAACUGGGAUAGGAGAUACAUGGGAUAAGUUGGGAUCAUCUUAUAAUUACCAGGGGGAAAGACAAUUCUAAAAUAGCGACAGCAAAACCUACCUCUACAUUGAUAGGUGCAUAGUAAAGGAACAUAGGAGUCCACUGGAAGAGCUCCCAAUGGCCAAAGCCAAGGAGAAUUUGAACAACAAAAUAAAUUAGUAUUAGACUAAAACCCAAAGUAGGAAAUAAACAUCCACGGGUUCAUAUUGAUGUAAAUAAGUUAUUGAAUAAAUAAAUAAAUUGUAGAGAAGAGACAGAUCUUCCUUGCAGAAAAAAAUCCAAAUAAAUUAUGUGAGUACUCUGCCUUCAAGAACUAAAUCCCCACUCCUUAAAAGUAGGCUGUGUAUAGCGAUUUCCUUUCAAAGAUUUCAAUUUAGAAAUAGGGCAAAAAAAAGACUAACCUGACUGUGGAGAAACUUAACCAGCACUAUCUCAGCCAGGUGAUUAAAGUGAAUAUUAACAUUUGAUAAAUUUAUUGAUACUGUGUAUACCCUUGCUAUGAUGUGGUGAAAAUAAAUUACCUUUGUAAUUUUUCUGCCCCAAAUCCAUAUACCUGUCUAAUAAUGAAACACCAGAAAAGUUCUGGGUUUUUUUUUCAGGGGGGUGGGAGUUGGUCUUUUUAGGGCCAUACCUGAGGCAUAUGGAGAUUCCAAGGCUAGGGGUUGAAUUGGAGCUGGGGCUGCUGGCCCACACCACAGCCCAGCAACGUCAGAUCUGAGCCGCAUCUGUGACCUACACUGCAGCUCAUGGCAACGCUGCAUCCUUAACCCACUGAGAGAGGCCAGGAAUCGAACCUCUAUCCUCAUGGAUACUAGUCACAUUUGUUUCUGCUAAGCCAUAAUGGAGACUCCAGAAAAGUUCUAAUUGAGAAGCAGUCUACAAAAUUUUUGACCAACAAUCCUCAAAACUCUUAUGGUCAUGAAGAACAAGGGAAGUCUAACAAACUAUCACAGCCAAAGGUAACAACCUAAGGAUACUUGAAACUGAAUGUGACGUGCUAUCUUUGAUGGGGUCCUGGAACAUAAAUGGAUAUUAGGUAAAACCUAAAGAAAUCUGAAUAAACUAUGGGCUUUAGUUAGAAAUAAUAAAUUAAUAUUGGUUCAUUAACUGUGGCACAUUUACCUAACAGAUGAUGUUGAUGUAUGCGAGACUGGGUAUGGGCUCUGUGGGACCUCUCUAUACUACCUUCUCAACUUUUUUCUGUAAAUCUAAAACUGCUGUAUAAAAUAGAGCCUAAAAAAAACCAAGAAUGCACUUGCAAAUGUAAAUAAUAACAAAUUCUUGUUUUUAAAUGUUUUGUUCUUUGAUAAAAUUAUACUCUUUUGAAAAUACUUUUUGUAGUAUGAAUAAUUUUUGAACUGUUGCGGGGAAAUGGGGAUAUUUGAUGGCAUAUCUGGAUUAAACAGCCAAACGAAUAUUUUAAACCUUCAAAAGGAAAAUAUUUGUCACAUGGCCACCGUUAGGGACAAUGUGAAACUAAACUUGUUUUUAUGCAAUUUUACACAGCUGUCUCUAAGCCAAAGCGUUCUGGGCAAGUUUCAGAACUUUCAAACUGUUUAUAAACUGAACAAACAAAGCUGCCCAAGUCCAUUCACAAUGGAUUCCUCAGUCUCUUUUCAGUACUGAAGAACAGCUCUUUCACAAACGCAGUCCAUCCUCCGUCGACUGCGAAAGGUGACGUCAGAGGCUUAGGUGGAUGUCUAAACAGGAGAAUUCCAGGCUGUCUGGUAGAUCGAUCUUGAGCAUCCCAACAGUAAAUGAACCUUUUUUAUAUACAAUACAGAGAAGUGAGAAUUCAGUUGCAUUAGAAAGAUGCAUGCAAAAAUUGAUAUUUUUCUCUGCUAUUGUUCAGUCUCUACUUUGUGAAGAUUAGCCCUAAUAUUUACUCAAGAAUCCACAGCACUAAUUCUAAGAGGAUGAUCAGAUUUUUAUAUCAUUUCUUCUACUUUCAAAUUUGAAAUAAGACUUAAGCCUUUUGAAAUUAUGGUUAGGAUGUACCUGCUCCAAAGCCCCGCUUUAUUUUAGUAGAUCAGAGUCUAAAUGGGAAAUUGUACGUGUGAGAGCAUUCUUUCCAGCAGAUGUCUAUUUGAACUACAGGAUGACACACAUAGAAUGGUUGUUAGGGAUCUGAAGAAAGGCUGAGGGAUUUGCUGUCUACUUAGGAAAACAAUAAGUCAAACUUCCAAUUAUUAAAUUUUUUAAAGUUCCCUCUGAAAAUAUGUAACUAUAUUAUUCAUUGGGGGGGAAAAAAAUCCUCCAGCCAAACCUUGAUAAGUCACAAAAUGAUUAUCUGUGCUAUCUACGCCCUUUGCUUCUCUAGAUCUCUCCAGCAGUCUAAAUUUGUGUAAGAAAGCUGUUGAUGUUGCAGUUAUCAUAAAAAGCACACCAGUGUACAAUGUACAUGUAACUAAAUUCUGUAUAUUGAAAUAAUUACAUUCUGUAUAGUGUAUAUAAAUGUCAUUGAAUAUGUACAUAUAAUUAAAACAAUAUAAGUAUAUAAAUGUACUAAAUAAUCAUUAUAUUAAAUAUUGCGCAUAGUACUUAAUAUUUAAUACUUAAUACAUAUUUAACAGUAUAUCUAGUAUAUGAAAAUAUUUAUAUAUAUAAAUACAUAAGAUUCCUAUAUUUACUAUGCUUUCAAUAAAAUUUUAUUUUCUUCAAAUCGUAUAACCUUUUAUUUCUUAAAAUUAAUAUUUGUACUGAAAGUAUAAUGUGUAUUUAUAAUGCUCAAUGACAUGUGGAUUAUUAAGCCUAUGAAAAUAUGAAAGUCGCUAACAAAAACUUACAAAGAUCCAUGCAACAAUGAACAAAACAUGUAAAAUAAUUUCAGUUUCAAGUUAGCAUAAGCAUGUGUUUGCUCAUGAGGGAUUAAGGGAACUGCUCAGAAAUUAUUCUACCCAUGUCCAAUCCUUGGCUCCAUUACCAUGUGUCCUAGGACUGACUACAUAACUGUUAUUAGUCCCAAUCCUCCUCAGUUAAAUAGAGGGAAUAAUGUAUACACCUUCUAAAAAUUUGAAAGAUUAAAUGUGAUAAUGCAUGCACUGUGCUCAAUCAGAGCCUGGAAAGGAAUCCCAUCUAAGGAUGAUAAAAAUCAAGGUUGUAAAUAAAUUAUUUGAUUCUAACCAGUUCCUGACAAUUGAAGAACAGGUCACAGUUUUUGCAAAAACCUAGUGCUACAAAAAUCUGAUAAUACUGUGAAGGCUUAGUGUACUAAUAAAAUUGUAUUUAGCAGAAAAAAUUUAUUUUCUAACUUCUCUUAUUUUUUGUUAAGGAUGAUAUUUUCCCACUUGAGUUGAAUGGAAUAUAUGCAUAUUUAUAUAUUCAUAUACAGUGGUUUUCUUGUUUUGCUUCUUACUCAUCUUAUUUCUAUGGUGUUUCUAAAUCACUUGGUUUAUAAUGCUUCUUAUUUCCUGCAUUACUCUAAUAGGAAGCUAUUUCCACUUAUAUAAAUUUUUAAAUAACAUCUCUAUGUUUAUUAUAUCAACAAAGUAGUCGGUCAUAAAAUACCAAAGGAAAUAAUACUCAUAAACAAGUUAGCAACAAAACCUUUCUCCAUAUACAUUUUGUAUUUCAAGGUGCCAUGGGAUUGGGGAAGAGUCAGAGCAGAUUGAGUUUGAAAAUGGAAUUGAAAGUGAGUGCUUAUCCACUUCUUAUGAAUUAUAAAUUCUUUUCCUCUUAGAAUCAAGC
rnacentral:lncRNA from 1 species